rnacentral:rRNA from 5 species
GAAGGUGGCCUGUGAGGGUUGCUGGAGGUAUCAGAAGUGCGAAUGCUGACAUAAGUAACGAUAAAGCGGGUGAAAAGCCCGCUCGCCGGAAGACCAAGGGUUCCUGUCCAACGUUAAUCGGGGCAGGGUGAGUCGACCCCUAAGGCGAGGCCGAAAGGCGUAGUCGAUGGGAAACGGGUUAAUAUUCCCGUACUUGGUGUUACUGCGAAGGGGGGACGGAGAAGGCUAUGUUGGCCGGGCGACGGUUGUCCCGGUUUAAGCGUGUAGGUGUGUGUUCCAGGUAAAUCCGGUUCACUUUAACACUGAGGCGUGACGACGAGGCACUACGGUGCUGAAGCAACAAAUGCCCUGCUUCCAGGAAAAGCCUCUAAGCAUCAGGUAACAUCAAAUCGUACCCCAAACCGACACAGGUGGUCAGGUAGAGAAUACCAAGGCGCUUGAGAGAACUCGGGUGAAGGAACUAGGCAAAAUGGUGCCGUAACUUCGGGAGAAGGCACGCUGACACGUAGGUGAAGUGAUUUACUCAUGGAGCUGAAGUCAGUCGAAGAUACCAGCUGGCUGCAACUGUUUAUUAAAAACACAGCACUGUGCAAACACGAAAGUGGACGUAUACGGUGUGACGCCUGCCCGGUGCCGGAAGGUUAAUUGAUGGGGUCAGCGCAAGCGAAGCUCCUGAUCGAAGCCCCGGUAAACGGCGGCCGUAACUAUAACGGUCCUAAGGUAGCGAAAUUCCUUGUCGGGUAAGUUCCGACCUGCACGAAUGGCGUAAUGAUGGCCAGGCUGUCUCCACCCGAGACUCAGUGAAAUUGAACUCGCUGUGAAGAUGCAGUGUACCCGCGGCAAGACGGAAAGACCCCGUGAACCUUUACUAUAGCUUGACACUGAACAUUGAGCCUUGAUGUGUAGGAUAGGUGGGAGGCUUUGAAGUGUGGACGCCAGUCUGCAUGGAGCCGACCUUGAAAUACCACCCUUUAAUGUUUGAUGUUCUAACGUGGACCCGUUACCCGGGUUGCGGACAGUGUCUGGUGGGUAGUUUGACUGGGGCGGUCUCCUCCUAAAGAGUAACGGAGGAGCACGAAGGUUGGCUAAUCCUGGUCGGACAUCAGGAGGUUAGUGCAAUGGCAUAAGCCAGCUUGACUGCGAGCGUGACGGCGCGAGCAGGUGCGAAAGCAGGUCAUAGUGAUCCGGUGGUUCUGAAUGGAAGGGCCAUCGCUCAACGGAUAAAAGGUACUCCGGGGAUAACAGGCUGAUACCGCCCAAGAGUUCAUAUCGACGGCGGUGUUUGGCACCUCGAUGUCGGCUCAUCACAUCCUGGGGCUGAAGUAGGUCCCAAGGGUAUGGCUGUUCGCCAUUUAAAGUGGUACGCGAGCUGGGUUUAGAACGUCGUGAGACAGUUCGGUCCCUAUCUGCCGUGGGCGCUGGAGAACUGAGGGGGGCUGCUCCUAGUACGAGAGGACCGGAGUGGACGCAUCACUGGUGUUCGGGUUGUCAUGCCAAUGGCACUGCCCGGUAGCUAAAUGCGGAAGAGAUAAGUGCUGAAAGCAUCUAAGCACGAAACUUGCCCCGAGAUGAGUUCUCCCUGAGACUUAGAGUCUCCUGAAGGAACGUUGAAGACGACGACGUUGAUAGGCCGGGUGUGUAAGCGCAGCGAUGCGUUGAGCUAACCGGUACUAAUGAACCGUGAGGCUUAACCUUACAACGCCGAAG